UUUUUUUUCCUUUAGCUUGUUUUGAUUGUUUGACUGCCUUUGCCUUUUUUCCCCCUUUUCUUUCUUUCUGCCGAUGGAGUCUCCAAGCCAUCCUGAUUUCUUUGCCGAAGUCCUUACAAAAAUCUAGUCUGAGAAUACCGAGCUGAAGGCGGCCCUUCUUCGCAUGCAGCAGGAGCUUGCUUCACUUUCGGCUCAAGGAUCCAGCAAAGUUCUUGAACCGAAGGUGAGUUUCUCGGAGAAAUUUUCAGGCAAGCGUUUCGAG
rnacentral:lncRNA from 1 species